ACGAACGCUGGCGGCGUGCCUAAAACAUGCAAGUCGAACGAGGUAGCAAUACCUAGUGGCGAACGGCGGAGUAAUACAUGAACAACGUGCCCUAAAGUCCGGGACAAACGCAGAAAUGUCAUAAAUACCGGAUGUGGUGGAGAGAUGGCAUCAUCAUUCCAUUAAAUGGUUUUUCGCUUUAGGAGCGGUUCAUGGCCUAUCAGGUAGUUGGUGGGGUAAUGGCCUACCAAGCCGACGACAGGUAGCGGGUCUGAGAGGAUGAUCCGCUCGAGUGGGACUGAGACACGGCCCACACACCUACGGGUGGCAGCAGUUGGGAAUCUUGCACAAUGGGGGAAACCCUGAUGCAGCGACGCCGCGUGGAGGAUGACGGAUCUAGGUCUGUAAACUCCUUUUUCAUGGAAAGACUUAGGACGGUACCAUGAGAAUAAGGACCGGCUAACUACGU
rnacentral:rRNA from 1 species